GAUCUCAAAUCAGGUAGGACUACCCGCUGAACUUAAGCAUAUCA
rnacentral:rRNA from 1 species